rnacentral:lncRNA from 1 species
AGAGACGCGGUCGGUCAAGCAGUACAUACACACACCCUCCAAGUUUUCAGGAUUUUGUGAAAUAAUGCAUUUGAAAAUGUUUUCUAAACUGGAAUGUGUUGGCAUAUGCCAGGGCAAAACGAGUGUACCGUUGACUGCUACAUAGAGUUUAGAUUCUCUGCCCGAGCCUGACCCCGCUGCUAUCCUCAGCUGGGCCAGGCCGGGCUGGGCCCUUCAUCAAGCAUUUGUGCUUUUUUGUUUUUAAUAGCUCAAAAUAAUGACCAUAUUUCCAGCUAGAAAACGCGCAUCUCUCUCCUCCCUCCAUUUUUGUGUUGCUUUGUGGUGUACACGUGAGUUAUCCUCAUGGCUAAAACAUGACUUGAGACGUAGGUGACAUCACUCCCGAGACGCAAGAAGAAAGCAAAAAUAUAUAUUUUUACAAAGGAAAAUGACAAAAAUAAUUGUAAUGCACAGUGACUUGAAUAGAUAACUUUAAUCUGAUCACUGGUUUGGAAAUAUUAACACGUUAGAUUACUCGUUACUGAAAAAAAGUGGUCAGAUUAGAGCAUACCUGUCAACCCUACUGUUUUCCCCGGGAAAUUCUGUUAUUUUAAUCAUCUGUCCUGCCGUCUUCCCGUUUACAUAUUUUCCUUUAAAUCUCCUGUGUUUCCCCUCCAGCCCAGCAGGUGGCAGUACAGUAGUUGUAGCGCCUCAAGUACGCAUGAAGAUUCGUGAGAUUCGGGAUUCAAGCGGUUUCUUAGAACAGUUCUGGAAACAAUGGGCCUGCAGGGGAAGGUCGAGCCCAGCAGGCCAGAAACACGUGGGACCAUUUAAAGAACAAGUACAAAGUAGCUUCAGGAUUGCAGAUAUGCAGGGACAGCAGAGGGUCAGCAGGAGGCCCAGCAAACUCUGAGUCAAAACCUGAACUCUGAGUUGACUUACCCUGUGAAGUGAAACUCUGAGUUUUCAGUUCCAGAACAGCUGAUCUGAGUUAGGUAAUUCGAUUCUGAGUAUGUUAACUCUGAGUUGAGCUCGUGCCUGACAACUAGUAAAAAGCCAUCAACAAUUGAGCUCCGAUACAGUGAUUCACCAUGGCAUCAGGAGAGAAAACAGGAAGCAGACAUUUUCUUGGGGAAAAAAAGUAACACGGCUGCGGCUGUAAUAAAAAUCACUGACAGAGCUUUAGAUGCGGUAGUCUUUUCAUUUUGAAUUUAACAUCACUUUCUUUUAUAUUAGCCUUUGAGGAAGUGGUUGAAUGUUGUUAAAUGUUUUGUUUUAUUUUAUUUUAGGCUGUUCUAUUUUAUUUAAAUCAGCUGAAAAUGACAUAUUGAAAUAGUCUCACGAUGGCUCCUCACUUUGGUUUUAUUUCACAUAUUAAACAAAGGAAAAGUUUAUUCAGUGGAUAUUUUAACUUGUUGUAGCUUUUACCACCAACAGAUAAAUGUUUAACACACAUUUGUCUCCUAACAUCCUGCUGAGUGAUUUAAAAAAAAGAAAAAAAUUAAGAGGAUUGUUCAGAUCUGAGAGCACGUCAGCAAUGACGUGUAGCCUGAUAUUCACUAUGCAGCCGGAGAAUAUAAAUGACGGACUGAUGAGAAGCGGUCUGCUGUUCGGUUCAGUCCUCGUCAGGGAGUGAGAGCUCAUCUAAAUGAAUCUAAAUUCUCCUCCUGGUGUAAAACUAUGUGAAUUAUUUCUGCUUCAACAUGAUCGGACUGAGAAGGAAAGUACAGCCGCUGUCAGACUGCUCCGUCAGACUCAAGGUUUCUUCAGGUAAACCUGCCAGUGAGCAGGUUAUGUUCACAGAGUAAGUUACCACAGUAACAGACCCAGAGUUUAAGUUACCUCUCUUUCUGGAACUGAAAACUCAGAGUUUCUCUCAUCUCAGGGUUAACAAACUCAGAGUUUUCACAAAACCCGCUUUCUGGAAUACCCCCCAGGAAGAGGAGGAUGAAGAUGAUGAUGAGGAGGAGAGCCAGCCAGGGCCGAGGAGGAGGAGGAGGAGGAGAAGGAAAAAGGAGGACAUGAGGCUUUUUGUUAAUGUUGUUGUGUUCUUCUUAAUGUUGUUGUGUUUUUGUUUUUGUGGUUGUGUUUUUGUUAUUGUUGCUGUGUUUUUCUUAACGUGGUUGUGUUUUUGUGGUUGUGUUUUUGUUAAUGUUAUUGGAGGAGGAGGAGGAGGAUGAAGGAGGACAUAAGGCUUUUUGUUAAUGUUGUUGUGUUCUUCUUAAUGUUGUUGUGUUUUUGUUUUUGUGGUUGUGCUUUUGUUAAUGUUGCUGUGUUUUUCUUGAUGUGGUUGUGUUUUUGUUUUUGUUGCUGUGUUUUUCUUAAUGUAGUUGUGUUUUUGUUUUUGUGGUUGUGUUUUUCUUAACCCUCGAGGCACCUUGGGGUACCAAACGUGUACACUCUGCUUUUUUGACGUCUUUGAUUCUCAAUAUAUCGGUCAGUUUAAAUGCUAAAUAUAUGAAACUUGGCCAGGAUUUGUUUUUAUUAAUACUUUUAAAAUUCCAUGAUCCCCUCUAUUGUAAGGUGUAUAGAUUAGGAGAUUCGCAUGCACUCUUUCACCUCGGGCCCGAUUUGGACACAUUGACUCCCAUUAUAACCACAUAUUUUUGAUAUACUGUAUUCCUGACAUAUUAUAAUGCUUUUCCCAUGAAUACCUAAUAAAUCUAAGCCUCUGCCUUCAAAAUACAGGGAAAACAGGUUUAAGGUCUGAUGACCCCCCUCAGCAGCAGAGCUUUAUCACAUACAGUUUCAAUGGAGGCCUGGUUCUCUUACUUUGCAAAAUGCAUGGCAAUAAAAACACUGAAC